UACGUAGGGUGCAAGCGUUAAUCGGAAUUACUGGGCGUAAAGCGUGCGUAGGUGGUUCGUUAAGUUGGAUGUGAAAUCCCCGGGCUCAACCUGGGAACUGCAUUCAAAACUGUCGAGCUAGAGUAUGGUAGAGGGUGGUGGAAUUUCCUGUGUAGCGGUGAAAUGCGUAGAUAUAGGAAGGAACACCAGUGGCGAAGGCGACCACCUGGACUGAUACUGACACUGAGGUGCGAAAGCGUGGGGAGCAAACAG
rnacentral:rRNA from 1 species